rnacentral:rRNA from 1 species
CUACGUGCCAGCAGCCGCGGUAAUACGUAGGUCCCGAGCGUUGUCCGGAUUUAUUGGGCGUAAAGCGAGCGCAGGCGGUUAGAUAAGUYUGAAGUUAAAGGCUGUGGCUUAACCAUAGUACGCUUUGGAAACUGUUUAACUUGAGUGCAGAAGGGGAGAGUGGAAUUCCAUGUGUAGCGGUGAAAUGCGUAGAUAUAUGGAGGAACACCGGUGGCGAAAGCGGCUCUCUGGUCUGUAACUGACGCUGAGGCUCGAAAGCGUGGGGAGCGAACAGGAUUAGAUACCCUGGUAGUCCACGCCGUAAACGAUGAGUGCUAGGUGUUAGACCCUUUCCGGGGUUUAGUGCCGCAGCUAACGCAUUAAGCACUCCGCCUGGGGAGUACGACCGCAAGGUUGAAACUCAAAGGAAUUGACGGGGGCCCGCACAAGCGGUGGAGCAUGUGGUUUAAUUCGAAGCAACGCGAAGAACCUUACCAGGUCUUGACAUCCC